GGGAUUACAGGCGUGAGCCACUGUGCCUGGCCCAGAGUUAUUGUUUUAUGGGUAGAGAGUUUCAGUUUUGCAAGAUGAAAGGAAUUCUAUAGACGGGUGGUGGUGAAGAUUGUACUUAAUGCCGCUGAACUGUACUCCUAAAAAGGGUUAAAAUAGUAACUUUUAUGUCAUGUGUAUUUUACUACAAAAAAAAAAAAAAAAAGAGAGAGAGAGAGAGACUGGGCACAGCGGCUCAUGCCUGUAAUCUCAACACUUUGGAAGGCUAAGGUGGGAGGAUCACUUAAGCCCAGGAAUUCAAGACCACCAGCCUGGAUGAUAUAGUGAGACCUUGUCUCUAAAAAAAAAUUAAAUUAAAAAAAAAGUGAUGGGAUACUUCUGAGAUUAGGUUGCAGAAAGACGAUGACUUCUACCUUGCAAGCUCUCAUCCUCCCUAACUUACCCUGAGGGAAAACAGUUGCCAUAAUGUAAGCUGCCCCGUGGAGAGGUCCACAAGGCAAGGAAAUGAUGCCUCAAGUCAACAGCCAUGCGGUGAGUUUGGAAGUGGAUUCUUCUCAAGCCAAGCCUUGAAAUGACUGCAGUCUGUGAUGACACCUUCAUUGCAAUCUUGUGAAAGACUCUGAACCAACUCUCAAUCUUGAGAGAGCCUCGUCUUCUGGACGAGCUAAGCUGCACCCAGAUUUCUGACCUACAGAAACCCUGGAGUUAUUCCCUGUACCCAGAGGAA
rnacentral:lncRNA from 10 species